AUCGCUUCUUGGCCUUUUGGCUAAGAUCGAGUGUAGAAAUUCAGUCAUAAUUUAAACAGACUGGAUUUUCUCUGUAGCUUGCAUUCAAGAACUUAGAGAAAGAUAUUUGUAUCAUGAAAUUCUAUAUCAACAAGGCAAAUCAGACAA
ensembl:snRNA U2 U2 spliceosomal RNA